rnacentral:rRNA from 1 species
CCCAGGCUAAUACCGCAUACGUCCUACGGGAGAAAGGGGGCUUCGGCUCCCGCUAUCGGAUGAGCCUAUGCCGGAUUAGCUGGUUGGUGAGGUAAUGGCUCACCAAGGCGACGAUCCGUAGCUGGUCUGAGAGGAUGAUCAGCCACAUCGGGACUGAGACACGGCCCGAACUCCUACGGGAGGCAGCAGUGGGGAAUAUUGGACAAUGGGCGAAAGCCUGAUCCAGCCAUGCCGCGUGUGUGAAGAAGGCCCUCGGGUUGUAAAGCACUUUCAGUGAGGAAGAACGCCUGUCGGUUAAUACCCGGCAGGAAAGACAUCACUCACAGAAGAAGCACCGGCUAACUCCGUGCCAGCAGCCGCGGUAAUACGGAGGGUGCAAGCGUUAAUCGGAAUUACUGGGCGUAAAGCGCGCGUAGGUGGCUUGAUAAGCCGGUUGUGAAAGCCCCGGGCUCAACCUGGGAACGGCAUCCGGAACUGUCAAGCUAGAGUGCAGGAGAGGAAGGUAGAAUUCCCGGUGUAGCGGUGAAAUGCGUAGAGAUCGGGAGGAAUACCAGUGGCGAAGGCGGCCUUCUGGACUGACACUGACACUGAGGUGCGAAAGCGUGGGUAGCAAACAG